rnacentral:lncRNA from 1 species
UGUGCAUGUAUUUGCCUGCUUUGCUUUUAAAGCAUGAGCUGAAUGCCUCGUUUAUGCAUUUCAGCUCAAAAUUUAGAGCAGUGUACUCAGUAAUCCUUUCACUGACCAUUUGUUGGGUACGUGGCCAAGCUCAUACGCUGCUGCUCCAGGAAGAGAAAGAUAGAAAUGAUUGUGCCUUCACUGCAUGCUUGCCAGCAGCAAUGAUAGAUGGAAGGAAAUCCUGCCCUACAAUCAUAGGAAGAGGAGCACUACAUUCUCAAGCAGGAUGCUGUGAAUGUUUCUCUCAGCCAUUGCUGCAGUAGGCGUUAUCUCUGUGAUUAUUUCUGCUACGACCAGAAGAGGGCAUUCUUUCUCUUUGGAACCCUGACACGAAGAAUGAAACAAAAGCUGUUGUAAAACCUAGGUACAUUUUGCCACUAUUCUUUUGCAUUUUUUACUAAAACUUUUUGAAGUUUAAAAAUUGAACUGUUGAAAAAGGAGGUGAUAGUUCACUCUUGCAGGUUUUUUUGAAGCGAGUUUAAGGCUUGCUAUACAAAUUUCUUAGUGCUAAUGUGGAUUCUGUAAGACAUGCUCUAUUUCCUCUACCAAGAGUAAAUAAUUUGCACUAAUGAGUGUCUGCCUCUUUUAAAUUUCCUUUGCUGUCGAUGUAUUUAUUUAGGAGAAGGAAGGUAUUUAGCAAUGCCUUCCCCUUAAGGCAGAUCUCUGUAACAAAUGUGAAAAUACCAGCUUAGCAUGUUUCAGAUGCUAUUUCCUCAAUCGGUGAGACAUCAGAUAAAUUCUUUGCAUGUGAGUUUAGUUUUGCUGGCUGGAAAACAAUUAUUUCAACUCCAGCAGUAUAGACUGAAGUGUAGCUCUGUAUUAUGAAAGCAAACUGCUCCAGUUUUUUUAAGUGACUGCCUUUCCCUUUGAUACUGCUGUCGUGCCUCUCAGUCAUGUAUUUACAGGCCUGAACGUUCAGUGGGAAUGGCUGCAGGUUCAGCAGUUUUGAGAAACAACUUAUUUGGAAGGCUGAAGUCAGAUUUAGAAGCUUAACGUUUUGGGAAUCUUAUCCGUAAUCCUUAUGACAUAGUGCUGACAAGGCAGAUUGCACCCCGAAUGCACUGGGAAGAUAUUACUUUAGAUCUUUUGCUUCUGAUUUGGAGGGAACUAGGGCUGGCAGAGGGAACACUGCCUUAACUUGGGGCAACAAAGCAGUCAGAAUCACUCUCAGAUCCAUCUCUAUAACUGUUUUAUAGGUUAUAGGCUUAGUAAGUGUGCUUAUGUGUUGAGAAGGCUGCCCAGGGAGGGAAGUUUUCUUACAGUCAUGUCAGAACUGAAGAAUGUACUUAGAAGUAUUGUUUCUCCAUUCAAUUCUUUCUCAAAGUUGUUGGGUCAAAAUCUGUGCACGUUUCUCUUUAAAUCUGUCAUAUGUUCUGACAAAAUAGAUAUUUUCAUUAGUUGAAUCAUCGGCGUAAGGGAUGAGUUCAAGUUCACAUCUUUUAUUGUGUAACGGACAAGUGAACCUGCAUUUGGGGGCUCUAAAAGUGAAACAAUGCCUAGGAAAAGGGCAGCAAUCCAGAAUAUACUGGUAAAGGACUGGCACCACUCUAGCUGUCCUGUCUGUCAGACUAAUGUAAUUGAGUCUGUCCUUCAAUGUGGAAACUGAGUGCUGUCCAAAACAAGAAAGAAGAAGCCCAUUUUGGUCCUUCAAGUGACACAGGAGCCAAGAAUACUUGCCUGCCAGAAAGUUAUGUGGACUUUGGAAAAGUCUUGUGAACAAGAGGCUUGAAGUUAACAAUGGAGAAAAAAAUCCAAGUGGAAACAUAAAAGAAAUGGACACAUCCUGUGUUAGCUGGUAAACCACAGAAAUGAAGAACAAAUACAAAAAUUCAAACCAAGAAUGCAAUUUCCACAAUAUCCUUCCUCCUCUUCCCCCUACUUCCCCCUCCCCUCUCACUGGGGCAUGAGAAUGUUUCUUCAUUUAAGACGGCACCCUAUUGUGAGGGCUAUAUGUGUUUUUCUAAUUGUGAGGUGUCUGCUGUGGUCUGCCAGUUAAUUUGUACUACAGAAACAAAACAUCCCUCUCUCCCAUCUCUCCCUGGUGUUCCAAGCUGCUGUAUGAAGUGAAAACUAGUAGAAUGGCUUGGCAUUUUUAGACUGAGUGAAGUAAGAAAAGUUUUUUGCUUUAAGUAGCUACAGCUAAGUUGGACUUGUUAACAGCCAUGGCAUACAACAGCUCACAUAUCACAGAAGCACAGCUGAGGCUGGCAGAGACCUCUGGGUCCCUCUGGCCCGGCUCCAGCAGGGACAACCAGAAUGGGUGCCCAGGCCUUUGGGCAGGCAACUUCUGAAGAUCUCCAAGGAGGAGGCCCCACAGCCCCUGGGCAGCCUGUGCCAGUGCUGUCAUCCACACAGUACAGUAGUAAAGCCCUUUACUGAAAUUCUAGUAUUCAUUUGAAUUUAGUUAGGAGUCCUUACGGAGAAGUUGCAAGAAGGAUUAACUACAGUGUCUGAAGUUCCCAGAAAGAGUAUCAGGGGCGGCUGGAGGGCGUCUUUCAGGGAAGGCGGUGCGAAGCGGCACAGCGCAGGAGCGUGGCGCCGUGCUGACGCUCCCAGACCGAACUCCGCACGGAUCGCCUCUUACGGCUCGCGCAGAAUUGCGGCCGGCUCCGGACCCCUCCGAGUCCCGAGUGGGUACGCGGGCCGCGUCCGACCACGGGAGGGCAGCAGCCACCGCCUCCGGUGCCGCCCCUCGGCGCGCUGCCUGCCGGGGCUGGGAAAGCUCCGCGGCCCGGCCCUGACCUCGUCCCGGCAGCGGGCGGGGCGGAGGCGACGCGGCUCGGCCCGGCCCCGGACGCGCUGCGGAAGCGGGAAGCGGCGCGGCGGCGGCUGGGGCUGAGACGGCGGCAUGGCAGCGCAGGGCUCGGCGGGGGAUGCGGCGCUGAGGCGCGAGGCCGAGCAGUGGCUGCAGUGGGACCAGGUGAGGGGCGGCGGGCGCCCUGACGGCUUUCUUUGUACGCUGCCUUUCCCUCUUGUUCCCGACCGCUCCCGUUGCAGAGGGAGCUGCCGGUCGCGCGGUGCUCAGGCAGGAGCGCGCUGCUAUGCCGUGCCUCGGAGCCCCUCCGAGCCCCCGGGUCCCUCUGCGUUUUGUUUGCUGAAGCGCCGUUUCCAGCCAUCCCUGAGGGCCUGCCUCAGCGCCGGGAGGUGCCGGGCGUUCCCCCGCUGGCGUGCGGGUUGCUGGGCCCUCGGGGUGCCCUGGUUUCUGGGGUCUUUUUCUGCCCUUCCCUGCUAUUGCUGUACUGCACAUCGCGUCUGUUCCUGUGGAGAUGUUCAGACAGCUGAGGGCGUCUCUCUGCUGCCUUCUGCUUUGAUCCUGACCGCUCUGCACGUAGAUGGAAAACCAGCAUAUUUCCAUAUUCCACACGUCUAAAGAGACCUCCUGCAUGGCCGUGCUCUGGAAACGCUGACGCAGCUGCCCGACACUGCGUUUCCUGCACAGAUCAGGCCUGGAUGUGCUGUGGGUGGCUGGCACUUGGUGUCCCUACACACGACGUUUGUUCACUUGCAGCACGCUGUCCAUGAGGUGCUGUUGGUGGCUGCCCUUUGCCCAUCGCAUACGUAGGUGCUGGUUUGGUAGGUGGCCUUCUGCUUACUUCAAGACUACUCACAAAAGUAUAGAACAUAUGUAUACAUACGUAUGUAUGCGAGGUUGUCUUUUCAGAUUACAACAAGCUUUUGUGUUUUUUGGAUCAGUUUAAUGGAUUUUUGAGAGGAUAAUCUGGUUUAAAGGGUCCCUGAUAUUAAUAACUUCUCAGACUGAUGUUAAUUAUAUUCCGGUCUUCUGUCUAAUCACUUCAGUUUAAUUGGUGAUUCCAAUUAGUUCAUGAAAUCCUAUUGAAGUCUAAUUCAACAUCCCCUGAAGUAUCUGUACCUUUCUGAAGGUGUGCUCUUGGUCAGUAAUUGCAUCUUUGGCUGCAGUACUACCUGACCGGUAUGCAAUGCCUUGUUGCUGAUUGCUCAAACAUAGUGAGGUGUCACUGCUGUGGUUCUGUCAUUUCAUUUGUCAGAGAGAAACUCCUACAGUGUUUGCAUUGAGCAAUAGCUUUAAUCCAAUAUAACCCUUGUCCAUUUACACUAUUUUUUAAUUUUUUUUAAGAGACCCCUUCAUGGCAAAGGAUAGCUUUUUAAUUUGAAGGGAGAAGUUAAUAUUUAAUGAUGAUAAGCUGCAUGUUUCUUGCAAAAUAGUAGUUUGCAAGAGCAAACCCUUACGUAUGGAAAUGGUCCUGCUGACUUUGCUGGAAGGUUUUUACUUAUGUAACAAUUACUGUGUAUAUUACAGGCUAUUUCAUCACCAUAUGCGUUACAGCAGUAUCAUGUUUUUCAUUUUUCUUGUUAUCAUGCAUAAAAAUCAUGGAGAGAAAGGCAGCUUCUGUUUUUACUGAAAAUAAAACUUGUUUACUCAGUACCUGUCCCGCUACUCUAAAACUUUGGAAGGACUUUUGCACUGAUGGAACAUCUCUGGGACCUUCAGUCAGUGUGGGUUCAGCUAAAUAACUUUUGUGUGACGAGGUAACAUUUGAGCAAGUUGCACUGGUGGUUAUUCCUUGUGUCAUAACACCUGCUGCUGUAAUCAGAGAGAUUGAUAUUCCCAUAUUCUUGUCCUGUCCCUGCAAGGUUAAGUUGCCAGCCUUCCUGGACUGGUAAAUUACUAACUCUUAAACUGGAAGUCAGUAAUUCAGGGCUACUUAAUUGCUCAGUGGGGAAAAAAACAAUUCUUUUUUCUUUAAUGGUAUUCUGCAGUAUAUAGUUUACUGAUGAUCAGCAAAGGCUCAUU